CCUACGGGUGGCAGCAGUGGGGAAUAUUGCACAAUGGGGGAAACCCUGAUGCAGCAACGCCGCGUGAGUGAGGAAGGACUUCGGUAUGUAAAGCUCUUUCAGCAGGGAAGAGAAAAGAAGGUUGCAGAAAAAGAAGCAUCUGCUAACUACGUGCCAGCAGCCGCGGUAAUACGGAGGGGGCAAGCGUUAUCCGGAUUUACUGGGUGUAAAGGGAUCGUAGACGGAUAGGCAAGUCAGAAGUGAAAGCCCAAGGCUCAACCGUGGAACUGCAUUUGAAACUGGCAAACUAGAGUACGGGAGAGGUGAGAGGAAUUCCUGGUGUAGCGGUGAAAUGCGUAGAUAUCAGGAGGAACACCGGUGGCGAAGGCGUCUUACUGGACCGAAACUGACGCUGAGGCUCGAAAGCGUGGGGAGCAAACAGGAUUAGAUACCCGUGUAGUC
rnacentral:rRNA from 1 species